AUUGAACGCUGGCGGCAGGCCUAACACAUGCAAGUCGAGCGGAUGAAGGGAGCUUGCUCCUGGAUUCAGCGGCGGACGGGUGAGUAAUGCCUAGGAAUCUGCCUGGUAGUGGGGGAUAACGUCCGGAAACGGGCGCUAAUACCGCAUACGUCCUGAGGGAGAAAGUGGGGGAUCUUCGGACCUCACGCUAUCAGAUGAGCCUAGGUCGGAUUAGCUAGUUGGUGGGGUAAAGGCCUACCAAGGCGACGAUCCGUAACUGGUCUGAGAGGAUGAUCAGUCACACUGGAACUGAGACACGGUCCAGACUCCUACGGGAGGCAGCAGUGGGGAAUAUUGGACAAUGGGCGAAAGCCUGAUCCAGCCAUGCCGCGUGUGUGAAGAAGGUCUUCGGAUUGUAAAGCACUUUUAGUUGGGAAGAAGAGCAGUAAGUUAAUACCUUGCUGUUUUGACGGUACCAACAGAAUAAGCACCGGCUAACUUCGUG
rnacentral:rRNA from 1 species